CCAAUUCUAUGCCUCCUUUACUUUGAUUCCUUUACUAUCUUCUUAUCAAUUAUUUUGUAAUCAUACAAUAGGUUUUCUUAGCAUAGUACACACCAUUCUACGGUCCAUAAUGGGUAUUUAAUUUCUAGGCUACAUAGUACAGUAGACAGCACAGUUACAGUCAACAGUGUUCGUGUUUGAUGACACCAUCCAACCAUCAUCUAAUGGUGGGUUUCACUUGGGUACGUACAUGUUCAAUCUCUUACGAGGUGUUACCAUCACAGUCAUCUGGAAAAUCCAACGGUGGAUAAGGGUUUCAAGAACAGAGACAUGUUUCAUGGAGUCCACCCCUCUAUUUUAGUAGUGGUGGUAUGAUAUGUAUGAACAUGAAAGUGAAUGGGUUCUUAUUAGAAUAGUAUUUGAUUUGUUUUUUCAGAGAUGAUGAGAGGGAGGGAGGGAGGGAGAGAAAGGUGCAUGGGGUCGUGGUCAUUUCUGGAACUGAGAAACCCCAGCUGGUAGGGGCGGGUCUGCACCUAUCUUUUGUCUUUUUUAACGUUGGCUUUCCACUCUUUUUACUCUUCUAAAUAUAGCCCCCAUACCAUAUCAUUCUCUUCAUCAUCACCAAUCUUUCUCUCUCUCACCACCCCCCUUCAAGAUAGGCGAGACUCUUGGGGGAUAAAGAGAAUAGUUUGAGAAUCACCGGCACGCACACACACGAAAUCAAAUUCCAUAUAUCUCCCUCUUUCACUUGGAAGAAUUGAUCAAGAUUUGCUAACAAAGGUAGCUUCUUUUUUGAGGGGAAUGUUGUCUGGCUCGAGGACUUUUUGUUGAUCAAUCUAAUCGAACUUUCUACCUGUAGAUCUAGUAUCUUAUUUAAGAUUGAUCACGUAUUAGGGUUGUCGGACCAGGCUUCAUUCCCCCCAAUCAUUGCUUCCAUCUCAAGGGCUGUUGCAUGUACAGUUGUUUCUGAGGUUUGGCUCUGAUCUCCAAAUCAAUAUUUUACAGAGAAGAGGGCAUGUGCUGUGUGAAGAUGUACAAGCAAGAAAGUGAUGCGCUUUCUGUCAUUGUUUGAAGAGUCUCUCGAUUCUCUAUUGAAAGAGAUAGAAAACUUGUUGGUAAUAAAAGUCUAGACGUACUUGCAUACUCGUGAUAUGAAUUUUGGAUACAACAUUUUGGCUCAGAUAUUUAAAGUUUUCUAUAGUCGUGCCCUUGGUUUCUUUGCUUCCUCUUUCAGAAGAGUUUUGCUGUUUUCCAAAAUCAAAGCUGGAUGUUUGAACAUGGGUAACUUCCUAUGCAUGCCUGCCUGCCUACUUAUGAAGUGUGCUAUAUUCUACCUGUUUCUUGGCCUCUUUUCCUUUGGGUUGAGUAGGGGAGUUUGUGCCCGCGUGUUUUGUGUCACUCUCACAUUACAUGAAACAACCUGUCUUGGCAAAGUUAUCUCUCGAUUACAUUUCGAAUUCUUUUCGAACAAGAGAUAUUGUUGUGAAUUCCUCAGUUAAAGCCUAGCUAGAAAGGAAUGGAUAAUGAUAGCUCACAAAAUCCUCUUGUUUCUUAAUUUUAACUCUACUAGCUAGAAAGGAAUGGAUAAUGAUUCUUGUUUCACCAUUUGAUUAUAUAUGCCACGCGUUAAAUAGCAGGUUCGUAAUUAAAGUCUCCCCGCAAUGUGGAAUAUGGAUGUCAUACUUUUCCAGCGUAAAGCUUGAUGAUUGCUUUCUAGAGGAGCAGUAUGCAGCAUUCAUGGAAACACAACAAUGAAAGAAUUAAACUCGCAUAGAGUGAGAGCAAAGGCAAAAGGUCAGGGAGAAGAAGGAGCCAUGAAUAUCCUUUUUAUUCCAUGUCACUGAGUAACCUAACGUUUUUAGUUCUGCAAAAUUUGUUUCAUAUUUUAAAGCUGGUUUGGAAUCUAGGAAGCAAACUCCAUUUUUUAAUGUUAUUAUAUAUAUAUGUCUGCAUUUGGACCUUGAGAUCAAUCAGACCAAAGACCAAUCUUUAUGGUUUUACCUCCAGGAUUUUUUUUUUCUUUUCUACCCUCUUUUCCCGUUUCAGAAUUUUCCUCUAGUCCUUUGUUGAAAAGGGGAUUGCAUGUAUGAAUGCUGUCUCGUAAAGCACCGCCUUUUGGGAAAUUGAAUCUUUUUGACCUUUGCAAACAUAAAGUAAACCACUUUCUCCCAUGCUUUUAUCCGUGAUAUUUUUUGCUUUAGUCUUUGAUUUUGUGGGAGCCGAGGGAGGGGGGUCUUUGGCCAUGUUGAUGAAUUCCUAUGAAGGUUUUAAUUAUGACCACAAUUUUCCAUGGUGUGAUUGGUAUGUGUACAACUUGACCAAAACUCUAUGAAAACUUUGUGCCAUUGGUUGAGAAGUUGAGGACCUUGUAAGUAUAUAGCUCCACAAAAGUACGUACAAGUGUAACCUAGAGCCCUAGACCUUGAAAAUUACUGAAGGAUCCAAUGAAACUUUGUCUUUCGCCCUUUUUCACUCCGCUGUCAGGAGUCAGGACGGAGCAUGUUGUGGAAAUUGGGAAAAUGGUAAGGCUACAAUUUUUUUCAGGCACUGUAAUCUUUCCUGUUACAGACAUGAAGUGCAACGACCCCUGCCCUCUCAACCAAGAUUGUCUCUAUGACUUUCUUGUAGACGCCAACUCUGCCUCUUCCCUCUGCAAAAUCUCUUCAAGUUUCUAACCUACAACAAUUCAUCAUAUAAGUUAUUUCUUUUUGAGGGAUGUUUAAGAGUGUGGUGCGUAGAAGUUGUUUUUUUAUCACACGUGGACAAGCGACAUUGAAGGGUCAGGAGUCUCCACCUAGUUGUUUGAUUAAGGAUCGCUAAAAAACUCGGGUGUAUUGGUCUUAUCAGAAAUGUUAAAGGUAAGGGGUUGGUUGUGGCUAGGGAAGGUAUUGACACCCUUAUCGCACCCUACUUGAGUUAAGCUGCAUUAAGUGGUUUGAAUGUGAUUUAAAUUCACUCAUUCGAAUAAAUAUGGUAUUUCAAAUGUAUUAUGGGCUUAUGUGCCUAAAUGAAUUCUUAUGGAAAAGGUCAGUGUAGGUACUCUAACAAAGUUCACCUAUCCUGAAAGGCGGAAAGGUUUUCCACAACUUGUAUGUUGUGGUGAAAAAUAUUCUCAAUUAAAAUUGAUGAAUAUUCAGAAUAAUUCUAACUUUCUA